UGCCAUCCGCCGCGGUAAUACGGAGGGGGUUAGCGUUGUUCGGAAUUACUGGGCGUAAAGCGCACGUAGGCGGACUGGAAAGUUGGGUGUGAAAGCUCCGGGCUCAACCCGGAGAGGCCACUCAAUACUGCUGUGACUAGAGUCCAGUAGAGGAGCGUGGAACUCCUGGUGUAGCGGUGAAAUGCGCAGAUAUCAGGAAGAACACCAGCAGCGAAGGCGGCGCUCUGGGCUGGUACUGACGCUGAGGAGCGAAAGCAUGGGUAGCAAACCGGAUUAGAUA
rnacentral:rRNA from 1 species